rnacentral:rRNA from 1 species
GAUGAACGCUAGCGACAGGCCUAACACAUGCAAGUCGAGGGGCAGCACGAGGUAGCAAUACUUUGGUGGCGACCGGCGCACGGGUGAGUAACGCGUAUGCAACCUACCUAUAAUUGGGGGAUAGCCUUCCGAAAGGAAGAUCAACACCGCAUAAGACAAUAUCAUCGCAGGGAGAAGUUGUUAAAUAUUUAUGGAUUAUAGAAGGGCUUGCGUCUGAUAGGAUGGUUGGUAAGGUAACGGCUUACCAAGUCUGAGGUCAGUAGGGGAUCUGAGAGGAAGGUACCCCAGACCGGAACUGAGACACGGUCUGGACUCGUACGGAGGGCAGCAGUGAGGAAUAUUGGGCAAGGGGCGAGGACCUGAACCAGCCAAGUCGCGUGAAGAAAGACGGCCCUACGGGUUGUAAACUUCUUUUAUAGAGGGAUAAAAAAGAGUACGUGUACUCUCUUGUAGGUACCCUACGAAUAAGGAUCGGCUAACUCCGUGCCAGCCGCCGCGGUAAUAC